rnacentral:rRNA from 1 species
ACUCAAAUGAAUUGACGGGGGCCCGCACAAGCAGCGGAGCGUGUGGUUUAAUUCGAUGCAACGCGAAGAACCUUACCUAGGCUUGACAUGAGAGAAGUAGAACCCCGAAAGGGGAACCACCCGUAAAGUCGGGAACUCCCACAGAUGCUGCAUGGCUGUCGUCAGCUCGUGCCGUGAGGUGUUGGGUUAAGUCCCGCAACGAGCGCAACCCUCGCCGUUAGUUACCAUGUCUAACGGGACCGCCGGUUUCAAACCGGAGGAAGGUGGGGAUGACGUCAAGUCAGCACGGCUCUUACGUCUAGGGCUACACACACGCUACAAUGGCCGGUACAAUGGGACGCCAAGGGGUGACCCGGAGCAAAUCCUAUCAAAGCCGGUCUCAGUUGGGAUUGCAGGCUGCAACUCGCCUGCAUGAACGCGGAGUUGCUAGUAACCGCAGGUCAGCACACUGCGGUGAAUACGUUCCCGGGCCUUGUACACACCGCCCGU